rnacentral:misc_RNA from 1 species
CCUUCUUUUCCUUUCCGAGCGGGGUAGCGUGAUAGGUUAGGUAAAAUUCUCUCUUUCUCCAAUAUCCACGCUUUCUCUUCCAGAGUUCCAUCUACUCUGUACCCACCCACCCUUGAGAAUCUCAUUCCCUUUAUUCGAUGUGUUACUGCUGCGGCCACCAACAUUCCUUAUCACCUGACGACCUAAUCCCCUCACGAAACCGCCAAUCCCACGACGACACAUCUGUAGUGGAUCUUCGGAGCCGCUUCGCCGAGACCGAAGCUCGCCUAGGACGAGUCAGGUCUCUAGAAGCCGAGCUCAAUCGCCGGCUUGAGGAAAUGGAGCGGUUCGUUUCUGUUAUGGAGAUCCUCGUGACCUACCUCAAGCGAAGGCUUCAAGAGCAGCAGGAACACGUCGGCCGCCUCUCUUCUCGUCUUUACUUGCUAAAUAGCGUUUAAUUCUAGGUGAUUUUAACAUACGCAUCCCCUUGUUUACAUUUGUUUUUGCGUUUUUUACCUUUUUCCCCCUUUUUUGUUGAAAUCUUAGGGUUUUGCUGUUAAUUUGUGGUGUGAGUUUAUCAGUGAUAAGAGCACACAGAUUUAGAACUUUUUUUAUGUGAUUUAUGGUUCUUAUACCUCCUCUUGUUUACAUUACUAUCUUGUAGUUUGUUCUUAGUUUUGUAAAAGGGAAAUGCUAUGAAUUCGUUGCUCGUCAGUACCAUCUCAUCAUGUACAUAUAUUUGUGUUUUGAAAGCGUCAAAGAUGAAUUUUGGCUUUUGGACUCUUUGUGAGUUCAUCAUCCUCUCUCCAUCCCUCAUUUAUCAA